rnacentral:lncRNA from 1 species
CCUUGUCGACUCUCAUUCCAUAGUUGUGUAUCUGUAACUGGAUUCUGGGUGAACUGCACCUAUCAGGAUGCAAAUAGGAAGCAGCUAUAUUGGUUCUCCCCACUUCCCCUCCAAACCAGCUCUUCUUUUAUUCUUUGUUGCCCCUGGGUGAAAUCUCUGGCCGUUCUCAGGUUAUCCCAAUCACCAACAGCUAACAAGUGAAUAGCAUCUUUCCCCAAACAGGCACAGAUAUUAUCCCACUUGCUCUUCCCAUGUAAGUCACCACUUAGCCCCUUCGUAU